AACAGGAUUAGAUACCCUGGUAGUCCACGCAGUAAACGAUGAUUACUAAUUGUCCGGGAAGAAUGAUUCUUGGGUGAUACAGCGAAAGCGUUAAGUAAUCCACCUGGGGAGUACGCCGGCAACGGUGAAACUCAAAGGAAUUGACGGGGGCCCGCACAAGCGGAGGAACAUGUGGUUUAAUUCGAUGAUACGCGAGGAACCUUACCCGGGCUCAAACGACACUGGAAUAUUUGUGAAAGCAGAUAGCUCUUCGGAGCCGGUGUCGAGGUGCUGCAUGGUUGUCGUCAGCUCGUGCCGUGAGGUGUCGGCUUAAGUGCCAUAACGAGCGCAACCCCCAUCGACAGUUGCUAACAGGUAAAGCUGAGGACUCUGUCGAGACUGCCGGCGCAAGCUGUGAGGAAGGCGGGGAUGACGUCAAAUCAGCACGGCCCUUACGUCCGGGGCGACACACGUGUUACAAUGGCAGGCACAGCGGGAAGCCAUAUGGCGACAUAGAGCGGAACCCGAAAGCCUGUCUCAGUUCGGAUUGGAGUCUGCAACUCGACUCCAUGAAGCUGGAUUCGCUAGUAAUCGCGCAUCAGCCAUGGCGCGGUGAAUACGUUCCCGGGCCUUGUACACACCGCCCGUCAAGCCAUGGAAGCCGGGAGUGCCUGAAGUGCGUGACCGCAAGGAGCGUCCUAAGGUAAAACUGGUGACUGGGGCUAAGUCGUAACAAGGUAACC
rnacentral:rRNA from 1 species